AUGAAGCUCCUUCCGACCGUCUUCCUUCUCCUCCUCGUCUUCCUUGCAUUGGAUGAUGUGGAGGCCCGAGGCACACCUAGGGCUCAUCGUUCCAAUCACCAGUGGUCCAGCAUGUUCGUCUUCGGCGACGACUUUGUCGACAACGGCAACGUUCCAAACAUCGUCGGUGAAAAGACGUCGCGGCAGUGGAGCUACCCCUACGGCUCUUAUCGCAACUCCAAUUGGUCUGGCGCUCCUGUUCCAACAGGACGCUUCUCCAACUACCGGAUGCAAUCUGAUUUUAUUGCAAGUAUGUUGGGCCUCGCUGAAGCCCCUCCAGCGUACGAGCUUACAUCAGACCAAUCUUGCGACUCCUCUGGCAUGACCUUCGCUGUUGGCGGCGCUGGUGUGUUCAAGGUGACGUCGACGGCGAAGAAGGUGCCGACCCUUGCUGCACAGGUUCAAGCUUUCAAGAGGCUAGUCAACGACGAUGUCAUCUCCACACGACAGCUUCACCACUCUGUCGCACUCAUCGCCAUCUCAGGCAAUGACUACAUGAGCGGCUCCGAGGCCAAUAAUGGAUUCUACUCAAGCUUCAAUGAUCUCGAUAUUUACAUAGGAAACGUGGCGACUGAGAUCCUAGAUAAUGUGGCGCAACUGCAGAUGCUUGGUGUGAGAAAGGUUCUAGUAAAUAACUUGCAUCCCAUUGGUUGCAUGCCUUCACAGACUAGUUCGAACAACUACACCACAUGUGACCUUCUUGGCAAUUAUGGUGCAUCGGUGCACAACAAGUAUCUAAACCAAAUGAUCGGAGAAAGGGACAACGUCCACAUACUGGACCUCUACUCUGCCUUCACCGACAUCGUGAAUCACGCCCCUGGUGAAGGGUCGGAUCGGUCCAAGGACUUCAAGCGCAAGCUGACCCCGUGUUGUGAGAGUUCCUAUGAGGGAGGGUACUGUGGGGAGCGUAGCAGUUCAGGGAAGCACCUCUACGACCUAUGUGAGAAUCCGGACAAGAGGUUCUACUGGGACGAGACACACCCAACACAUGCUGGGUGGGAGGCGGUAAUGGAGGCGCUGGAGCAACCUUUGAUGGAAUUUCUCGAUCAGGACUACGUUCCAUGA
rnacentral:rRNA from 1 species